AGAGCGAACGCUGGCGGCAGGCCUAACACAUGCAAGUCGAGCGCCCCGCAAGGGGAGCGGCAGACGGGAGAGUAACACGUGGGAACGUACCCUUCAGUACGGAACAACCAAGGGAAACUUUGGCUAAUACCGUAUACGUCCGUAAGGAGAAAGAUUUAUCGCUGAAGGAUCGGCCCGCGUCUGAUUAGCUAGUUGGUGAGGUAACGGCUCACCAAGGCGACGAUCAGUAGCUGGUCUGAGAGGAUGAUCAGCCACACUGGGACUGAGACACGGCCCAGACUCCUACGGGAGGCAGCAGUGGGGAAUCUUGCGCAAUGGGCGAAAGCCUGACGCAGCGACGCCGCGUGAGGGAAGAAGGCCUUCGGGUUGUAACCUCUUUCAGGAGGGACGAAGCCACUCGGGUUAAUAGCCCAGAGGGUGACGGUACCUCCAGAAGAAGCCCGGCUAACUACGUGCCAGCAGCCGC
rnacentral:rRNA from 1 species